rnacentral:tRNA from 1 species
GGGAUGUAGCUUGGUGGUAGAGCACUUGCCUAACAUGUGCAAAGCCCUGGGUUUAAUCCCCAACACUUCCC